AACGAACGCUGGCGGCAUGCCUAACACAUGCAAGUCGAACGAGACCUUCGGGUCUAGUGGCGCACGGGUGCGUAACGCGUGGGAAUCUGCCCUUGGGUCAGGAAUAACUUCGGGAAACUGAAGCUAAUACCGGAUGAUGACGUAAGUCCAAAGAUUUAUCGCCUAAGGAUGAGCCCGCGUAGGAUUAGCUAGUUGGUGAGGUAAAGGCUCACCAAGGCGACGAUCCUUAGCUGGUCUGAGAGGAUGAUCAGCCACACUGGGACUGAGACACGGCCCAGACUCCUACGGGAGGCAGCAGUGGGGAAUAUUGGACAAUGGGCGAAAGCCUGAUCCAGCAAUGCCGCGUGAGUGAUGAAGGCCUUAGGGUUGUAAAGCUCUUUUACCCGGGAUGAUAAUGACAGUACCGGGAGAAUAAGCUCCGGCUAACUCCGUGCCAGCCGCCGCCGUAA
rnacentral:rRNA from 1 species